UGUAACGAGCGCAACCCAUGUCUUUUGUUGCUGUUUACAGUGCUUAAAAGAGACUGCCGCUCUACAGCGGAGGAAGGUGUGGAUGAUGUCAAGUCAGCAUGCCCCUUAUAUCUUGGGCUACACACGUACUACAAUGGUAGGGACAAUGAGUCGCAAACCUGCGAAGGCUAGCCAAUCUCAAAAACCCUAUCUCAGUUCGGAUUGUACUCUGCAACUCGAGUGCAUGAAGGUGGAAUCGCUAGUAAUCGCUGGUCAGCAUACAGCGGUGAAUACGUUCCCGGGUCUUGUACACACUGCCCGUCACACCAUGGAAGUCGAUCCUUCCCUAAGUCGUUACUCGAACCUUUUAGGACGAGGAUGCCGAAGGCAGGGUUGGUGACUAGGGUGAAGUCGUAACAAGGUAGCCGUACUGGAAGGUGUGGCUGGAAUACCUCCUUU
rnacentral:rRNA from 1 species